GCCAGAAUUAGGCAAAUUAGAUCCGUAACUUCGGGAAAAGGAUCGCCUUUGUAGGUUAGAGGGAUGCACAUCCCCAAGACUGAAGAGGCCGCAGAGAAAUGGCUCUAUCAACUGUUUAUCAAAAACACAGGUCUGUGCGAAGUCGUAAGACGAAGUAUACAGGCUGACGCCUGCCCAGUGCCGGAAGGUUAAGGGGAGAGGUUAACGCUUCGAACUGAAGCCCCGGUGAACGGCGGCCGUAACUAUAACGGUCCUAAGGUAGCGAAAUUCCUUGUCGGGUAAGUUCCGACCCGCACGAAAGGCGUAAUGAAUGGAGCACUGUCUCAACGAAGGACCCGGUGAAACUGAAAUAGGAGUGAAGAUGCUUCUUACCCGCAGCAGGACAAAAAGACCCCGUGGAGCUUUACUGUAGCUUGACAUUGUGUUAGGACUUAGACUGUGUAGGAUAGGUGGGAGACUGUGAAGCUGGACCGUCAGGUUCGGUGGAGUCGCCGGUGAAAUACCACUCUGUCUAAGUUUUGAUUCUAACCUUUCCCGUAAGCCGGGAAGGGGACCGUGUCAGGUGGGCAGUUUGACUGGGGCGGUCGCCUCCCAAAGAGUAACGGAGGCGUGCAAAGGUUCCCUCAGGCUGAAUGGAAACCAGUCGUAGAGUGCAAACGCAUAAGGGAGCUUGACUGCGAGACCAACAAGUCGAGCAGAGACGAAAGUCGGCGUUAGUGAUCCUAUGGCACCGAAUGGAAGGGCCAUGGCUCAUCGGAUAAAAGCUACCCCGGGGAUAACAGGCUAGUCUCUCCCAAAAGUUCACGUCGACGGGGAGGCUCGGCACCUCGAUGUCGGCUCGUCACAUCCUGGGGCUGAAGUCGGUCCCAAGGGUUGGGCUGUUCGCCCAUUAAAGUGGUACGCGAGCUGGGUUCAGACCGUCGUGAGACAGGUCGGUCUCUAUCCGCUGUGGGCGUAAGGGAAUUGAGAGGAUCUGCCCCUAGUACGAGAGGACCGGGGUGGACGGACCGCUGGUGUGUCAGUUGUCGUGCCAACGGCAUGGCUGGGUAGCUAAGUCCGGGAUGGAUAACCGCUGAAAGCAUCUAAGUGGGAAGCCAGCCUCGAGAUGAGUUCCCUCACAGGGUAACCUGGUAAGUGCGCUGGAAGACGACCAGCUUGAUAGGCGGUACGUGGAAGGGCAGUGAUGUCUGUAGCGAAACCGUACUAAUGCACGAGGGCUUAAUCUA
rnacentral:rRNA from 1 species